GGUGGGGGCUGUUUUAU
rnacentral:miRNA from 1 species